GACGUAGGGGCCAGCGUUGUUCGGAAUUACUGGGUGUAAAGGGUUCGUAGGCGGUGUGGCAGUCGGGAGUGAAAUUUCUGGCUCAACUCAGAGACUGCUUCCGAAACUGCUGUGCUGGAGUGUGGGAGAGGCGCGUGGAAUUGCAGGUGUAGCGGUGAAAUGCGCAGAUAUCAGGAGGAACACCGGUGGCGAAGGCGGUUCUCUGGGCAUUACCUGACGCUGAGGAGCGAAAGUGUGGGGAGCGAACAGG
rnacentral:rRNA from 1 species